CUUCAGCCAAUGACGUUAACCGUCCUCCUUCCUGCGGGACCAGUGUGCAAUGGCUUCAAACAGCAGCCUCCGCGGUAAUGGACACAGCCUGUUGGCAUGUAACGGCUUCCCUAAGAGACCUUGGGGACAGCC
ensembl:snoRNA SNORA70 Small nucleolar RNA SNORA70